CAUACCUAGAGUGUGUUCUUUGCUGUAGCUGUCGUCUGGACAGAAGUGCUCACCGCUGCACAGAACUCUGCCAAGGCCACUCUGAGGCAUCCACAUCUGAGUCCUGGGAGCUAAACACACCCACAGCUGUGGUUCUCCCUUGCAAUUUGGAUCUACUGGCUUGCCCUGGAUCCAUCUUACAACCCUGUUCUAUUGAAUCAAGAUCUGGAUGACACAUUGUCUUGGCAGUUGCAAAGCUCCCAGGUCGUCUUCAGGGCCUGAUGACAGAAACGGAUCCUCUUCCAAGACAAAUGCUCAUAUUUACAAAUAUUUUACACACUAUUUUGGAACAUUCUUGACAUGCUUCCUCCGCUGAAGUCCAUAGAUUUCAG